GGGAAUUUAAUCCACAGGGAAAUUUCUGUUGGGAAAGCAUCUUUAAAGUCAAGAUCAGCCGACCAUUGUUUCAAAAUCAUAGGCCUAUUAGCAAUUGAAUAUGGUCCUCCACACAGUAUUUCUUUGGCAUCAUCAAGGGACUGAAAUUUAACUAUCUAGUAACCCUCAUCAUGGCAAAAUAAUUCAGGCUCAGGCACAUGAGACCAGUGUAUGCUAAUAAAUCUUUUCAUAGCAUUGUACCCUGGUCCAUUGCCUAGAACAAAAAUAACUAGGGNNN
rnacentral:lncRNA from 1 species